UACGUAGGGCGCAAGCGUUGUCCGGAAUUAUUGGGCGUAAAGAGCUCGUAGGCGGCUUGUCACGUCGGAUGUGAAAGCCCGGGGCUUAACCCCGGGUCUGCAUUCGAUACGGGCUAGCUAGAGUGUGGUAGGGGGGAUCGGAAUUCCUGGUGUAGCGGUGAAAUGCGCAGAUAUCAGGAGGAACACCGAUGGCGAAGGCAGAUCUCUGGGCCGUAACUGACGCUGAGGAGCGAAAGCAUGGGGAGCGAACAGG
rnacentral:rRNA from 1 species